ACAUGCAGUCAGUAUAUUGUUGUAUUUUUUAAUAAAUGUUAUUACUUUAUGUUUCUCUAUUGAUUGUAAUAAAAGCCAGAGCCCAAAACUUAUCGAACACAUUUUGGGCUCAGGCUUUAGCGUAGAAUAAAUUUCAUCUCUGAGCACAAACUUCAUGUCUUGAAAGGGGUAAGAAACCGGUUUUCACAAAUUUCAAUAUUGUUGUCAAAAAUAUAUUUUCAUUUAUUUU